rnacentral:lncRNA from 1 species
CGACGCGGUUGCAUGCAUCGAGGAGAAUGCGGCACUGCUUCAUCUGGUCACAGAGUUUCUCGCGGUCGUCGGAGACCAAGAGCGCUGCGGCGUUGAAGACUUGUUCAUCUUCGAGACUCUUUUCAGAAGACUCUUCCGAGAGCCGGCUUCUGUCUUCCAGCGCCGCAGCCUCCGCGUUCAACUGAAUGCAGGCGAAAAGAUGCAGGAAAGAAAACGCGCCAAGCGCUGUCUCGGAAGGCAAAGAGGGAGAGCAAGAGGGGCGCUCGCCUUCUUUUUUUUGCGUGGACAGAGAGACUCGACGACAUCGAGGAGAAACAGCUGGCUGGCAGUCGACCAGCGAAAAAAGCGCGCGUGGGCACUCCCAAAUGAAGCAGAGAAAGGAAGGAAAAGGCGAUGCCAUCCAGCGGUGUCGAUCGAAGGGAGCAGCGGGAAGCUGUUCUCGGCGACUUCUCGCCACAGCAGUUUUUUCUUUUUCUUUCUUCUUCAAACGAACGACUGUCCAAGCUUCUUCUCAGCAGAGCAGGCCGGCCGCAAAGACUCCUCUGUCUCUGCAGACUCCUGCAGGAGAACAAGUUUUCGCAGUUUGCCUGUCUCACACGAUGCCUCACCUUGUUAACUGCAGCCAGAAGCAGCUGUUGAAUCUGCGUGUUCGCUGCGAUGAUCUGCCAAGCACCCGCACAGACGCCAGGGAAAAAAAGACACCACCGGCAGAGAUCAGAUGGAAACUCAACAACAGAGCGUCUGGAGGCAAGCGCAGGGAGAGUCUGAGGCAUUGCAAAUGGAUGCACCUGCUUCGCCGCUUUCUGAUGCUGAGAAUCGAGUUCAAUGAGCGUCAGAACUCCUUCAUCGUCGAUGGGAGUAGGGUCGAUGAUUCGCUUGCACUCGGUGCCGUCGGUGGUCGCCAUGGUGCGGUGUAUGUACAGUCGAGCUUGCUGGAAAGAAGUCGCGAGGCCGUUUCCGCGAGACACCUCAGCGAAUCGCCGCCGGAGAAUUCCAGAACUUCGAGAAGAGCGUGCACAGCAGAUCUCACGUUUCAGAAAGGGGAGCGAAAGGGCAGAAAAGAGGGGAGAAAACGCCUGGCCUUCGCCGGGCACCAGCCGGAGGUCUGAGUCAGUGCGAGGAAACGGCUCUUUCGAUCCAGAAAAACAAAGCAGACUGAGAAAUGUUUCCGCUGAAAGUCAACGUGUGUCCUUGGUGCGGCGCCUUGAGACUACAAAACUCGGCAAAGACCACAACUUCUCGGAGAAGCGUUCACCCUUCGCGGUCGUGCUUCAGACUCUUUGCUCCGAACCUCAGCUCUCCCCAGUCUGCUUCUUUCCUCUUCGCCCCGACAAAGAGAGACGCCCUAAUGUCUGCGGCAAAACACAGAGGCGCAUCAAACGCCAAGGUCUGAAACAGGUCGCUGCUUCGAGGGGAUUUUUCCCGGUUGUCUUCGGGUGUACAGACAGCUGCUCCUCACAGGGCGCGGGAGCAAGGCGAAUCGGUUUCGAGGGUCACAGACAAAGACGCAACGCAGAGACGAGAAAGUGUUUCAACGUUGGAAGAGUCUGCAUGUGACCUUGCGGCUCUUGAUUCCCGGAGAAAAGGGAGGUUGAGGACUGGCGAUUUUUCAAGGCGAGCUGCGGGAGUCGCGCGCCGCUCCUUCAAACCCUCGACAUGUUCUCCAGGUCUGCAAAUGCCCGUCUCAUCGAAGAGAGAAACACGUGCAGAUCUCAUACGAAACACGAUUUCAGUCAUCGACUCUCCACAGUUUUCUAAUAACUCAGGAAAAAGAGACUGGCUGCAAAGCCCUCUCCCGUUUUCACGCAGCGGGACGCGGUGCACAGAUACGGAGGCAUAUCACGGCACUGGAAGUCCUUCUUUCAGGAAACAAGAUGUUUCUUUGUCUACCCAGAGAAGAACUGGUUGAUAGAAUCUCUACACACCCAUUUUUCUCGGGGAAGCGACUGGAGAAGUACAGCGCUACGGAACACGCACGCCGAAGCAUUGGCAUGCAGAGUCAGUCGAAGAAGUGACUCUGCGGCAAAUGUGCCUGUUUUCUGUUGAGUUUUUUUUUGGAACACUGGAAGCUUUGCUUCUCCACCUCUCUGCAGAGGAACUGGUCCUCUGUUUCUCUUCUAUUCCGUUCGGGUCGUCAAACGCACAAUCGCUUCCGUGUUUCUCGGAUACACACACCACUGCUGACCUGCAGAUGACGACCUGCCGUAAAAAC